CAUGACCCGAGCCAAAGUCUCAGCUGAACCACCGACUGAACCACCCAGGUGCCCUGAAUGUCAUUCUAAUGUUAACAAAUAUUCACAAAGUGGCUUUCCAUGUGUGUUCCCCUCACAGCCCUGGUGAUCUCUAACUAUGCUGUGACAUUGUGACAAGCUGGCUAAUGUGACCGUCAGUGCUCUCCCAGCUCUUGGGGGGAGUUGGAUUUGGGCACCUGAAUGUCUUUUGUGCUUCACGGAGGAUUACCUUGUCAGAAAGAGGGGGCUAGACCUCCAGGACCUGGUAACCAUAGCAACCAUGCACGCCUGACCUUGUGGGUUCUUUAGGACACCUCCCCAGACCUUUCCCAGACUGAUCUUUUCAAGCUUUCCCCAAACUGUUAGUGGCAUUCUUAGACGGGCUCAGCCCUAACAUGCAGGGCACUUCAGGAGUAUUGACCUGACUGCCUUUUCCAGGUACCUAAACAGUCAGCACUCCAUGGGGAACAGGAGGAGCUAGAAAAAUUGGGAAAGCGAGAAGAACAACAUGAGCAGAAUCUCACCAAGGAAAUAAAGCACCUGCUUUUGAUCACUAAGAACAGAAGAUAAAAUGCUCACAUUCGAGAAUGCAAUCAACUCACUAUGUUGCUGUGUCGGAUGUUCUCAGAACACACAGACCCGACUACGGCAUGAUGCCCUAGGAAGUGGGCUCUGUAGUGCUUCAGGAUGAUGCGUCGGCCUAAGCAGACACAUUUUCUUCAGACAGUGCUUAUGGGGCACACCUUUCCUGCGAGGAAGAAACUGAGGACCAGAAAGUUGCAUAACUUGUUCAAGGUCUCCCUUGAGAGAACAGAGGACUUGGAAGCUGAGCCAAGG